rnacentral:rRNA from 1 species
GUGCCAGCAGCCGCGGUAACACGGGGGGAGCAAGCGUUGUUCGGAAUCACUGGGCGUAAAGGGCGUGUAGGCGGUUGAGUGAGUGGAAUGUGAAAUGCCCAGGCUCACCCUGGGACCUGCAUUCCAUACUGCUCAGCUCGAGUAUGGGAGAGGAUGAGGGAAUUCCUGGUGUAGCGGUGAAAUGCGUAGAUAUCAGGAGGAACACCGGUGGCGAAAGCGCUCAUCUGGCCCAAUACUGACGCUGAGGCGCGAAAGCUAGGGGAGCAAACGGGAUUAGAUACCCCCGUAGUCC